rnacentral:rRNA from 2 species
AGUCCAGACUCCUACGGGAGGCAGCAGUGGGGAAUAUUGCACAAUGGGCGAAAGCCUGAUGCAGCUAUACCGCGUGUAUGAAGAAGGCCUUAGGGUUGUAAAGUACUUUCGUUGGGGAGGAAAAAUAAAUAGAUAAUACCUGUUUAUCGUGACGUUACCCAAAAAAGAAGCACCGGCUAACUCCGUGCCAGCAGCCGCGGUAAUACGGAGGGUGCAAGCGUUAAUCAGAAUUACUGGGCGUAAAGAGCUCGUAGGCGGUUUUUUAAGUCAGAUGUGAAAUCCCUGGGCUUAACCUAGGAACUGUAUUUGAAACUAAAAGACUAGAGUAUCGUAGAGGGAGGUAGAAUUCUAGGUGUAGCGGUGAAAUGCGUAGAUAUCUGGAGGAAUACCUGUGGCGAAAGCGGCCUCCUAAAUGAAUACUGACGCUGAGGUGCGAAAGCAUGGGGAGCAAACAGGAUUAGAUACCCUGGUAGUCCAUGCCGUAAACGAUGUCGACUUGGAGGUUGUUUCUUUGAGAAGUGACUUCCGAAGCUAACGCGUUAAGUCGACCGCCUGGGGAGUACGGUCGCAAGGCUAAAACUCAAAUGAAUUGACGGGGGCCCGCACAAGCGGUGGAGCAUGUGGUUUAAUUCGAUGCAACGCGAAAAACCUUACCUGGUCUUGACAUCCACAGAAUUUUUCAGAGAUGAAAAAGUGCCUUAGGGAACUGUGAGACAGGUGCUGCAUGGCUGUCGUCAGCUCGUGUUGUGAAAUGUUGGGUUAAGUCCCGCAACGAGCGCAACCCUUAUCCUCUGUUGCCAUUGGUUCGGCCAGGAACUCAGAGGAGACUGCCGGUUAUAAACCGGAGGAAGGCGGGGACGACGUCAAGUCAUCAUGGCCCUUACGACCAGGGCUACACACGUGCUACAAUGGUGUAUACAAAGAGAAGCAACUCUGCAAAGACAAGCAAACCUCAUAAAGUACAUCGUAGUCCGGACUGGAGUCUGCAACUCGACUCCC